rfam:Candidatus Magnetoovum chiemensis strain CS-04 SAG21360, whole genome shotgun sequence.
GCGCCUGUAGCUCAGUGGAUAGAGCGGAAGUCUCCGGAACUUCAGGUCGGACGUUCGAUUCGUCUCAGGCGCG